rnacentral:rRNA from 2 species
AUUAAGCCAUGCAUGUCUAAGUACAAGCUUUUACACAGUGAAACCGCGAAUGGCUCAUUAAAUCAGUUAUGGUUCCUUAGAUCGUACUAUCCUACUUGGAUAACUGUGGCAAUUCUAGAGCUAAUACAUGCAAGAAAGCUCCGACCUUCGGGGAAGAGCGCUUUUAUUAGAUCAAGACCAAUCACCCGCAAGGGUGUCCCUUUGGUGAGUCUGGAUAACUUUGGGCUGAUCGCAUGGCCUUGCGCCAGCGACGUAUCUUUCAAAUGUCUGCCCUAUCAACUUUCGAAGGUAUGUUUUAUGCUUACCUUGGUUUUUACGGGUAACGGGGAAUAAGGGUUCGAUUCCGGAGAGGGAGCAUGAGAAACGGCUACCACAUCCAAGGAAG